UCUACUGUGAGGACUGGGGUCUGUUUGAGCCAACUGGACCCUGUCAGGCUGGUUAUUACUGCAUAGCAGGUGUAAACUUUCAGAACCCUGAUGGCAACUUCAGCACUGGUAUAGGAGGUGCAUGUCCAAAAGGAAGUUACUGUCCUGAGGGAAACACUCUCCCUCUGCCAUGUCCACCAGGGACCUACUCCAACAGUCUUCAUUUGACAGACGUCUCUGAGUGUAUUCCAUGUCCAGCGGGUCACUUCUGUGGUACUGCAGGUCUUACUCAUCCAUCUGGUCUGUGUGAAGCUC